AGAGUUUGAUCCUGGCUCAGGAUGAACGCUAGCGGCAGGCUUAAUACAUGCAAGUCGAGGGGCAGCAGCUUUAUAGCAAUAUAGAGGCUGGCGACCGGCAAACGGGUGCGGAACACGUACACAACCUUCCUUGAAUAGGGGGAUAGCCCAUAGAAAUGUGGAUUAAUACCCCGUAAUAUAGCGGUGUGGCAUCACACUGUUAUUAUAGUUUCGGCGAUUCGAGAUGGGUGUGCGGCUGAUUACCUAGUUGGCGGGGUAAAGGCCCACCAAGCCUUCGAUCAGUAGCUGAUGUGAGAGCAUGAUCAGCCACACGGGCACUGAGACACGGGCCCGACUCCUACGGGAGGCAGCAGUAAGGAAUAUUGGUCAAUGGACGCAAGUCUGAACCAGCCAUGCCGCGUGAAGGAUGAAGGUCCUCUGGAUUGUAAACUUCUUUUAUAGGGGGCGAAAAAAGGUCUUUCUAGAUCACUUGACAGUACCCUAUGAAUAAGCACCGGCUAACUCCGUGCCAGCAGCCGCGGUAAUACGGAGGGUGCAAGCGUUAUCCGGAUUCACUGGGUUUAAAGGGUGCGUAGGCGGGUAGGUAAGUCAGAGGUGAAAUCCUGGAGCUUAACUCCAGAACUGCCUUUGAUACUAUCUAUCUUGAAUAUGGUGGAGGUAAGCGGAAUAUGUCAUGUAGCGGUGAAAUGCAUAGAUAUGACAUAG
rnacentral:rRNA from 1 species